rnacentral:rRNA from 1 species
AGAGUUUGAUCCUGGCUCAGGACGAACGCUGGCGGCGUGCUUAACACAUGCAAGUCGAGCGGUAAGGCCCUUUCGGGGGUNNNCGAGCGGCGAACGGGUGAGUAACACGUGGGUGACCUGCCCUUAGCUCUGGGAUAAGCCCGGGAAACUGGGUCUAAUACCGGAUAUGACUCCACGGUGCAUGUCGUGGGGUGGAAAGCCUUGUGCGGCUGAGGAUGGGCCCGCGGCCUAUCAGCUUGUUGGUGGGGUGAUGGCCUACCAAGGCGACGACGGGUAGCCGGCCUGAGAGGGCGACCGGCCACACUGGGACUGGGACACGGCCCAGACUCCUACGGGAGGCAGCAGUGGGGAAUCUUGCGCAAUGGGCGAAAGCCUGACGCAGCGACGCCGCGUGAGGGAUGACGGCCUUCGGGUUGUAAACCUCUUUCAGCUCCGACGAAGCGGAAGUGACGGUAGGAGCAGAAGAAGCACCGGCCAACUACGUGCCAGCAGCCGCGGUAAUACGUAGGGUGCAAGCGUUGUCCGGAAUUAUUGGGCGUAAAGAGCUCGUAGGCGGUCUGUCGCGUCGGCUGUGAAAACUCGGAGCUCAAACUCCGACUUGCAGUCAUACGGGCAGGCUAAGUUCGGCAGGGGAGACUGGAAAUUCCUGGUGUACGGUAAAUGCGCAAUAUCAGGAGGAACACCGGUGGCCAAAGCGGGUCUCUGGGCCGAUACUGACGCUUAAGACGAAACGUGGGAGCCGAACCAGGAUUAAAUACCUGGUUAGUCCACCCGUUAAACGUUGGGGCGCUAGGUGUGGGAUCCCUUCCACGGGUUCCGUGCCGCAGCUAACGCAUUAAGCGCCCCGCCUGGGGAGUACGGCCGCAAGGCUAAAACUCAAAGGAAUUGACGGGGGCCCGCACAAGCGGCGGAGCAUGUGGAUUAAUUCGAUGCAACGCGAAGAACCUUACCUGGGUUUGACAUACACCGGAAAGCCGUGGAGACAUGGCCUCCGCAAGGCCGGUGUACAGGUGGUGCAUGGCUGUCGUCAGCUCGUGUCGUGAGAUGUUGGGUUAAGUCCCGCAACGAGCGCAACCCUCGUCCUAUGUUGCCAGCGGGUUAUGCCGGGGACUCAUGGGAGACUGCCGGGGUCAACUCGGAGGAAGGUGGGGACGACGUCAAGUCAUCAUGCCCCUUAUGUCCAGGGCUUCACACAUGCUACAAUGGCCGGUACAGAGGGCUGCUAAGCCGUGAGGUGGAGCGAAUCCCACAAAGCCGGUCUCAGUUCGGAUCGGGGUCUGCAACUCGACCCCGUGAAGUCGGAGUCGCUAGUAAUCGCAGAUCAGCAACGCUGCGGUGAAUACGUUCCCGGGCCUUGUACACACCGCCCGUCACGUCACGAAAGUCGGUAACACCCGAAGCCGGUGGCCUAACCCCUUGUGGGGGGGAGCCGUCGAAGGUGGGACUGGCGAUUGGGACGAAGUCGUACAAGGUAACCGUACCGGAGAGGUGCGGCUGGAUCACCUCCUU